UAUACACAUCCAUGCAUGUGCAUGCACAGCUUUUAAAGUAAAUACAUCUCCAACUUAAUUUUCCUUUAUUCAGAUCAUCAGCGGCGGCUGAAACUGGAACCUCUCAUGAAAAUCCUGACUUCAGAAGGCCAAGCUACUAAGCUUUAGACACUGCUGGAUCUGUAGCACCUGCCUAGUGGUUAUGCUUCUGACUUCACCACCCAUUUUUGUAACAGAGCAUGACGGAUCAGAGAGACCACAUUUAGAUUUUAUUUCCAUACUUUUCUGCACAAUUUCCUCAGAUCCCAAGAAAGUGAUCUGUAGGGCGGAGAGGCAGAUGGAAGAGAAAGAUGGUGCUACAGCGCGUGUGAGAGAGGUUUGGCCACACAGCAGAAUCAACUCUCCCUGAAGCUUUUCCUCCAAAAAUUUUCAGUUUCACUUCAAGGACAGCAAAUCUGAACAGUGACUUUAGUCUAGGACACCUUCAACCAAGAUGCGGGAGACUCUAUUAGCAUUUUUAUAGCUGCCCACUAGAAGUCUGCAUGAAUAUAAAGUUAAAGGAUGUGGAAGUCAAAUUUUCUCCCAAGAAAUCAGACUUGCAUUUUGAACCAGUACCUUAACUACUGAGGGAGGCCCAUUGAGAUAGUAAGGAAUGCAUAUUUACUUCUAGCUGAGUAUCUGAACUGCAUUGUAAUUUUUUAUUCUUAGCUUGAAAGAAACCAUUUUAUAAGGGUACAACACAUUUUACAUAUGUUUUCCUUUAACAAAAUACAAGCGGCAUAUAUUUCAAUGGCCCCAAAGAAUAACGAGGCUCUGAAAGUAUGUGUUUGGUUUUGGGUCUUUUUUAUUUGUUUGUUUUGGUUGUAGGUUGUUUUGUUUUGUUUUGUUUUGUUUGUAAGAGUUUAAUUUACAGUGAUGAAUAUCAAGUGAUAUGUGCCUUCCAGCUGUAGUGGCACAUCUUAAAAUACUUUCAUACAAUUGUGUUUGCUCUUCACUACUUAUCUUAGAACUUUUGCUGCGCCAGAGCCAGUCACCUGUAAGAAGUGACUGAGAAAGAAGAAGGGGCUCAGCUCAGAAUGUCAGGUGUAAAGAAAAUGAUUAGCUUUACUACUGUCCUCCUAGCUUUGGAUGGGAGGAGUCCAUCCCUAACACAAAUUUCAUUGAUGGUUCAAGUUAGUUUUUGUGUCCCUUUCCCUAAUUACUAAAAUUCCUUUCUCUUUCAAUCUUGUUAUGUCGGGCUAUUCAUUAUGGCUUUUCACACAAGUCUUUUAUCUUCAUCUUUUUGUCCAAUAAUUUCAAAUGUUUAUAUUCUGAACAAGGAUCAGCCCGGAAUAGACAGUUUAAGCUUGUGUGUAGAUAUGGGUUAUUCAGCCUCUACAUAGAGGAGAAAGAAUGUCAGACAAUUAGGUCAUCCUGGAUUAGGAAUCAAGUGUUCUCAGAGAGUAGAUGAUGGGAGUGGUUUCAGCACAUUAGCAAAAAAAAAAAAAAAAAAAAAAAAAAAAAAAAAAGUACAACAAGAAGGUAAUUCACGUAUCUUGUUAUUGGCAAAACUUAGCCUACAUAAACCUCACCAUGUAUAAAAAUAUGUCAAAGUGUUUAAUUUUUUUAAAAAAAUAAGUCAGUGAAGCAUAACAGGAGGUGUACAUUUUUUUUUCCUGGAGAUUUUAAGGUAGAACAUAAAUAUGGAAAUGAUCUAUAGAAAACAAAUUAAUUGUAGGAAACAUCUGGGUUUUAUUCUUAUGAUAACACAAGAAAAAGUUGUGCUUUGUGGGAAACUAAUUAUAUAGUAUUCUUAGAGGGGCUGAAUUAAAAAAAAAAAAGGAAGAAAGUCUCUACAUUCUAUAAAUGGCAGCAAGAAGACAGAAGCAAAUCCUUUUCCCCCAAACAAGUGUAAAAUAGAACAGAAUUCUCAAAGAUAAUAAUUUUAGGGCUCUGGAAAACUAAAAGAAAACAACAAAUUGAGAAGCACUUAUUAAUGAAGAACUGCUAGAAAUUUGAGUAAAAACAAUGAGAGUCUGCAAUCUUUUUGCCUCAGGGUGCUCCCAGUCCCCAUUCGUUCACUCAUUUGUCAAAAAGAGUAGGUCUGCCAGAGUAAGUUUUGCUGUGAAAGCCAGAACCAGGCUGCCAGAGGGUGCAGAUUACAUUAGUGACAGAAAAAAGCAAAGAAAAAUAAAGCUUCUCAAAUUUGAUGAAAACUAUUAAUC
ensembl:lncRNA